GACGGAGGGGACGAGUGUUAUUCAUCAUUAUUGGGCGUAUAGGGCGAGUAGGUUGUUUUUCUUUUGCCUAUAAUUAAACUUUAAGGCCUAACCUUAAAAUUUAUAGAAUACUGGAGAACUACGGGUAUGGUAAAGGAUUUUAGAACGUAUAGUGUAGAGAUGAAAUUCGUGAAGAUUAUACAGAAUGCCAAUUAGGUGAAAACAGAAAUCUAGGCCAUUUACUGACACUGAGUCGCAAAAGCAUGGGUAGCAAACGGGAUUAGAAACCCGUGU
rnacentral:rRNA from 1 species